rnacentral:rRNA from 1 species
UAAGGAAUAUUGGUCAAUGGAGGCAACUCUGAACCAGCCACGCCGCGUGGACGAUGAAGGCCCUCUGGGUUGUAAAGUUCUUUAGUCUGGGACGAAAAAAGGAGAUUUAUCUUCGACUGACGGUACCAGAAGAAUAAGCACCGGCUAACUCCGUGCCAGCAGCCGCGGUAAUACGGAGGGUGCAAGCGUUAUCCGGAAUCACUGGGUUUAAAGGGUGCGUAGGCGGUUUUAUAAGUCAGCGGUGAAAGCGGGUCGCUCAACGAUCCCAUUGCCGUUGAUACUGUUUAACUAGAAUUGGGUUGAGGUAGCUAGAAUGUAACAUGUAGCGGUGAAAUGCUUAGAUAUGUUAUAGAACACCGAUUGCGAAGGCAGGCUACUGGACCUUGAUUGACGCUGAGGCACGAAAGCGUGGGUAGCGAACAGG